GACGAACGCUGGCGGCGUGCCUAAUACAUGCAAGUCGAGCGAAGUUUUUCUGGUGCUUGCACUAGAAAAACUUAGCGGCGAACGGGUGAGUAACACGAAAAGAACCUGCCUCAUAGACUGGGACAACUAUUGGAAACGAUAGCUAAUACCGGAUAACAGUAUUUCUCGCAUGGGAGAUAUUUAAAAGUUGGUUAUGCUAACACUAUGAGAUGGCUUUGCGGUGCAUUAGCUAGUUGGUGGGGUAAAGGCCCACCAAGGCGACGAUGCAUAGCCGACCUGAGAGGGUGAUCGGCCACACUGGGACUGAGACACGGCCCAGACUCCUACGGGAGGCAGCAGUAGGGAAUCUUCCGCAAUGGGCGAAAGCCUGACGGAGCAACGCCGCGUGAGUGAAGAAGGAUUUCGGUUCGUAAAGCUCUGUUGUUAGGGAAGAAUGGAUAUGUAGUAACUAUACAUGUAAGAGACGGUACCUAACCAGAAAGCCACGGCUAACUACGUG
rnacentral:rRNA from 1 species